CGCCCCGCCCGCGGCCGCGGGGGAGCCCACUCUGACGCCUGCGAGCUAGACUCUCAGUUUAUCCUGGAUUCUCAUUAGCCUUUAAAAAGUCUCAAAUUUCUUGCAUUAUAGAAUGUGUGUCUCAGCCCAAAUAAUGACACCAAAAGCUACCCAGUUGCCAGCCAAAACCUGGAUGUCAUCUUCCUCACUCCCCACUCCUGAGUCAAUCUCUGAAAUCUGUAGGAUCUACAGAACAGUCACAGGCCCUGGAACCACACUGCCUGGGAUUACAUCCCGACACUGUAUAACGUUGAGAAGGUUGUGUCAU